CUCUGAUGAGACUGGCGCACGGGUGAGUAACACGUAUGUAAUCUGCCUUCAGGAGGGGGAUAACUUCGGGAAACCGGAGCUAAUACCGCAUAAUGCAGCGGGGCCGCAUGGCCACAGUUGUUAAAGAUUUAUUGCCUGGAGAUGAACAUGCGUCGCAUUAGCUAGUUGGCGGGGUAACGGCCCACCAAGGCAACGACGGGUAGCCGGCCUGAGAGGGCGACCGGCCACACUGGGACUGAGACACGGCCCAGACUCC
rnacentral:rRNA from 1 species